GGCGCAAGACCAUGCCGGCUAUUCCCUACACCAUGCAAAACCCUAGCUCCCGUCUGAUACGCACUGCAUCUUCCCCCUUCGGUAGAUCUUCGAGUACAACGGGAGUGCCGUGGUGGCGAUGGCGGGGAAGAACUGCUUCGUGAUCGCCAGCGACCGGCGCCUGGGCUUGUAGCUGCAGACAGUCGCCACUGACUUCCAGAGGGUGUUCAAGAUCCACGGCAAGUUGUACAUUGGCCUCUCUGGCCUUGCCACGGACGCCCAGAUGUUGUUGGUCUUGAAUCCUCAAUUGGCGGUUUCUGGUCGUUAGCUGAUCGCCCCUAUUUGGUGGCUUUCGUUGGUUUAGGGUUUGGGUUUGACAUGUGUGCUGUGUUACGUGUUUGUAGGUACUAGCGGUUGGUGUUCAAGCAUGAACUGUACCAGCUUCGGGAGGAGAGGGACAUGAAGCCUGAGACCUUUGCCAGCCUUGUCUCCACCCUCCUCUAAGAGAAAUGGUUUGGGCCAUACUUCUGCCAACCAAUUAUUGUUGGGCUAGGUGAAAAUGAUUAGCCAUUUAUAUGUACCAUGGACUGCAUUGGUGCCAAGUAUGCAUCAUUUAUUUUUCUGACAAUUCUAAGCCAGCGCAAGAAGAAAACAAAGUAUUAUCACAUGCCAUUGAGGAUGAUCAGGAGUACUAGCGCCCUGUCCGUCCAUGCUCCCCAUCACCGCCGUUGCCGCUGCCAUUGCUAAGGAGGACUGCUGACACUAAUGCUACGAGCUGCCCACAUCAUGACCAUCAGGGUGUUUGCUCAGUCUGCAUUGCUGCUGUUAUAUGCUGGCGGGCGUGUUGGCGUGUUGCCGCCCGAACCAGAUUUCAAGGUAAGGUCUUACUAUCAAUGCCAUGAUUGUCCCCUCGAUGCACUUCUUUGUAAAGUGCUUGAUAAAAUCUCGAUGGAGAUACAUGCAAUGCAGAUGCAGGUAAUACCGUAGACUAAUGUCUUUCAGUAUGAGCUCCAUGAUGGAGAUACAUGCAAUGCAGGUAAUAAAAACUCUACACGGAGAUACAUGCAAUGCAGGUGACAACGCACAACCAAGCUCCCAAACCGAGCCUGGUUGAAGGAUGGUCGUCCGCCAUCCCGUGUGUCGCUGGCAUCGGGUAUAUAGCCAUCUUCACCAGCCAGUCCAUCCACCUGUUGUUGAGGGCUGGAAGUCAUUGCGCUACUGGACAUAGCCAAGUGCGUAUGUGCUAUUGCACGAAUGUAAAGGGCUUCUGAGAAAGGAAGAGCAAUCGCUGCUGCUGUUGAGGGUGUUGAGAAGCAUUGGGGAACAUCUGUAUCUGGUCCCAAGUCCCAACACUUUUGUUGAAACUCUUCAUGAACGGAUGUUUAGGAAAUCACUGUCCAGAAUUAUAUAUGAGACUUCAAAGUAGCUCAAGAGAUAUAUUGAUGCAAGUUAUAGCCCAAAAUCUUCCACCCAAGUCUACUACAAUCCAGAAGGCUGUUAAAUUAUGAAUAAUGACUUGUCAUUAUCCAGAUGGGAGUGUUGUAACUGUUGUUGAUGUCCUUCAAAUAACUCAUGCUGCAAUUGCAACAGUGGAAACAGUGGAGCAACGGGCUCCGAGGUGACUUCUUUUAUGGUGCAGAGCUUCUGGGAUCUAACAAUGUCAACUGGGCCUCGAUGAUGAUGAUGAUUCCAGAAGGAUCAACUAAAGUGGCAUCCGAGACAAUAGAAAAUGGGAAGAUCAGCCUUCUUUCUGGCGUCAGGCUUAUCAAACACUUUUGGGUUCAAGAUUCAGGACAAACAAGGCAUGAUGCACAUAUUUAACUCUGACACGAGUAGACUGACAGAAUUGAUAAUGUUGAUUCUUUAAUCACUUCGCAAUGACGUUGAUAAAUCGAACCUACCUCAAAUUCUGUACGAAGAUGAUGAUCACCAUACUCUCAUCGGAUACCGACCUUAUACCGGCUGUGGACCAUGCAAAACAAAUCGGUUGGAAGGUCGCGCUAAGGAUUCAACAAAUGAUGACCAAUGUGAUGUGCAAAGAUAAGAGGGAGUGAGUGGAGACAGCAAUGAGUGGCUCAGCACGUCAACUAGCUGCCGCCUAUGAGGGGAGUGAGUGGAGACGGCCAGAUCUAUGCGGCAGAGGGGCGAUGGAAGCUCGAGUGGAAGAUUCCUCGCCGGCAUGGGAGCAAUUUGUCGGGCCAGAUCAACCCUAAAGCUCAUGCAUGGACGUGAGGUCAUGUCAUUAUUAAGAAGUUCAAUCUUUGAAAACUAAGAAUGUGGCGCUGUGUAAAAAUAGAAAGGUGCUAGAAAAUUGGCUCUGACCAAUUUCGUUUGUAGCUGUGAGCAUUGCUAAUUUCUGUCAACAUGAAUCAUAUCUGGACUAUUUAUAUAGCUACCAUACUGAACAAAAUUGUUUGAUUAAUGUAACGCUCCUAAAUA